CCGGGGCCGCGCAACCUCCCGGUAAAGCGUCCCGGCGCUCAAGCGUUGC
rfam:Sphingopyxis macrogoltabida strain EY-1, complete genome.